rnacentral:misc_RNA from 1 species
AACGCACCUUGCACCCUUUGGUAUUCCGAAGGGUACGCCCGUUUGAGUGUCAUUGUACUCUCACCACUUCCCUUUCUCACGAAGGGGGAGGCGGUGGACUUGGACGCUUGCCGCGAUUCAUCGAGGCUCGUCCCAAAUGCAGGAGUGUGACCCCCCCCUUGUCGGUGUCAUCCGGUGUGAUAAGCAUCUUCACUGGAGCGUCCUCGAUCGGCCUUCGGGUCUUUCGAAGAGCAUCGUUGGGUGUGGUAUUCGCUACCAACCGUCUUCCUUGAAGACAAUCCUUGACAAUUUGACCUCAGAUCGGGCGGGACUACCCGCUGAACUUAA